AGACGAGAAGACCCUANAAACUUAUAGUUUAUUUUGCUGGGGCGGCAGAAUUGCAUAUAACCAAUUUUUUAUUUACGUGAAGCGAUGCAGAAAGAAAAAGUUACUCUAGGGAUAACAGCAUAAUUUUUAUAGUUUGUGACCUCGAUGUUGGACUAGGGAUAAUAUCCCUUAGAAGGGGAUAAUUAUGGCUCUGUUCGAGCUUCUUACCCUACGUGAUCUGAGUUCAAACCGGA
rnacentral:rRNA from 1 species